AUUGAACGCUGGCGGCAGGCCUAACACAUGCAAGUCGAGCGGAUGAAGGGAGCUUGCUCCUGGAUUCAGCGGCGGACGGGUGAGUAAUGCCUAGGAAUCUGCCUGGUAGUGGGGGAUAACGUCCGGAAACGGGCGCUAAUACCGCAUACGUCCUGAGGGAGAAAGUGGGGGAUCUUCGGACCUCACGCUAUCAGAUGAGCCUAGGUCGGAUUAGCUAGUUGGUGGGGUAAAGGCCUACCAAGGCGACGAUCCGUAACUGGUCUGAGAGGAUGAUCAGUCAAACUGGAGUUGAAAAACGGUCCAGGACCCUAGGGGGGGCAGCAGGGGGGAAUUUGGGAAAAGGGGGGAAAGCCUGAACCAGCCAUGCCGGGGUGGUGAAGAAGGUCUGCGGAUUGUAAAGCAUUUUAAGUUGGGAGGAAGGGCAGCAAGUUAAACCCUUGCUGUUUGGACGUCACCAACAAAAUAAGCACCGGCUAACUGCGG
rnacentral:rRNA from 1 species